rnacentral:rRNA from 1 species
UACAGAGGUCUCAAGCGUUGUUCGGAUUCAUUGGGCGUAAAGGGUGCGUAGGCGGCGCGGUAAGUCGGAUGUGAAAUCUCGGAGCUUAACUUCGAAACUGCAUUCGAUACUGCCGUGCUUGAGGACUGGAGAGGAGACUGGAAUUUACGGUGUAGCGGUGAAAUGCGUAGAGAUCAUGAGGAAGACCAGUGGCGAAGGCGGGUCUCUGGACAGUUCCUGACACUGAGACACGAAGGCCAGGGGAGCAAACGGG